rnacentral:rRNA from 1 species
UACGUAGGGGGCAAGCGUUAUCCGGAUUUACUGGUGUAAAGGGGGCGCAGACGGCGAUGCAAGCCAGGAGUGAAAGCCCGGGGCCCAACCCCGGGACUGCUCUUGGAACUGCGUGGCUGGAGUGCAGGAGGGGCAGGCGGAAUUCCUGGUGUAGCGGUGAAAUGCGUAGAUAUCAGGAGGAACACCGGUGGCGAAGGCGGCCUGCUGGACUGCAACUGACGUUGAGGCCCGAAAGCGUGGGGAGCAAACAGG